rnacentral:lncRNA from 10 species
ACUACCUGCAUCCCCUUUGGCCUGGACCACUGUGACUUCCCUAUGGUGGACUGCUGCUCCUCAAGGGAGGAGUCUGUUUCCAGCCCCAGGCAGCAGAGUUAGCCCCGACUCCCUGUGCCCUAUGAAAGCUGAGCAGAAUUACAUAAGUCACUCCAGGCAGAAGACUGAAGAGCCAGGGCCUGGUUGACCUGUGCCCUGUGAACCUGAAUGACAAGGUGCAGCCUCGCCAGCAAGCACAUGAGCUGCCCCUGGAGAUAAUUUUCUCCAGCUAGAGUGCCAGAUUCCAAGCAAGAGAAACACUCGAUGUCCAUUACCGGCUUUGAAGAUGAAGGGGACCAGAGACCUCAUGGUACAACCACAAGGAACUGAAUUCUGCUCACAACCAGAUUGAACUUGGAAGUGGAUUUUUCCCUUGUCCCUUCAGAUACCUUGACUUUGGCCAUGCGAGUCCUUACACAGAAGACCUAGUCAUGUCACGCCGGACUACUGACCCACAGAAACUGUGAGAUAAUAAAUGCGUGUUGUUUGAAG